rnacentral:rRNA from 1 species
CCGUAUCGCUCUUCUCGUGUCAAGGCCUGAUAGCGAAAGGUUCUUCCGGCGCUGAGAGAGAGCUCCGGUCCAUCAGUUAGUUUGUGGUUAUUCACACCCAAGGCUAAGACGGUAGGGGAUGUAGAGCCACGGCCCCCCCACAAUUGGACUGAGAGACGGCCCAUACUCCUACGGGAGGCAGCAGCAGGGAAUAUUGCACAAUGGACGAAAGUCUGAUGCAGCGACGCGCGUGAGUGAUGGAGGCUUCCGGGUUGUAAAACUCUUUCCGGGAGGAAGAGCGAGGACGGUACUCCCAGAAAAAGCGUCGGGCUAACUACGUGCCAGCAGCCGCGGUAAUACGUAGGACGCGAGCGUAUCCGGAUUUACUGGGCGUAAAGCGUCUGUAGGCGGUAGAGUAAGUUGGGCGUGAAAGCUCCGGGCUUAACUCGGAGAGUGCGUUCAAUACUACUGAACUAGAGGGCGUAAUAGGGGAGCGGAAUUUCCAGUGUAGCGGUAAAAUGCGCAGAUAUUGGAAGGAACACCCGUGGCGAAGGCGGCUCCCUGGUGCGCACCUGACGCUGAGAGACGAAAGCUAGGGGAGCGAACAGGAUUAGAGACCCUGGUAGUCCUAGCCCUAAACGAUGAAUGCUAGGUGUGGGGCCGAAUGGCUCUGUGCCGGAGCAAACGCGGUAAGCAUUCCGCCUGGGGAGUACGGCCGCAAGGUUAAAACUCAAACGAAUUGACGGGACCCCGCACAAGCAGCGGAGCGUGUGGUUUAAUUCGAUGUUACACGAAGAACCUUACCUGGGAUUGACAUGGGAGUGGUAGGGAAGCGAAAGCAGACCGACUCGUAAGAGAGCUUUCACAGGUGCUGCAUGGCUGUCGUCAGCUCGUGCCGUGAGGUGUCGGGUUAAGUCCCGUAACGAGCGCAACCCCUGCCCUUAGUUACAAGUGUCUAGGGGGACUGCCGGCGGAAAGCCGGAGGAAGGUGGGGAUGACGUCAAGUCAGCAUGGCCUUUAUGUCCAGGGCUACACACACGCUACAAUGGCCGGUACAAAGGGCCGCGAAACCGCGAGGUGAAGCGAAUCCGAUAAAAGCCGGUCGUAGUUCGAAUAGCAGGCUGCAACCCGCCUGCUUGAAGCUGGAGUUGCUAGUAACCGCGCGUCAGCUAUAGUGCGGUGAAUACGUUCCCGGGGUUUGCACACACCGCCCGUC